UACGUAGGGGGCGAGCGUUGUCCGGAUUUAUUGGGCGUAAAGAGCGUGUAGGCGGCUUGGUAGGUCUGCUGUGAAAACUCGGGGCUCAACCCCGAGCGUGCACCCGAUACUGCCGGGCUUGAGGCAGGUAGGGGAGAUCGGAAUUCCUGGUGUAGCGGUGAAAUGCGCAGAUAUCAGGAGGAACACCGGUGGCGAAGGCGGAUCUCUGGGCCUGUCCUGACGCUGAGGCGCGAAAGCUAGGGGAGCGAACAGG
rnacentral:rRNA from 1 species